AAUACUUUAGUACUUGUGCAGUCUUGCUGUUUAUUGAGAUUCUAUAAAAUAUAUGAAAAGCAUUGAUAUAAGAAACUUCAAAGAGCCUUUCCUCUUCUAAGUAUUAUUGAAGUUUGUGGAGCUGUGUUAAUGGUACAUUAACUUGCACAAGCUUUUAUGUAAAUAUAAUCAAAUAGAUGACAUUUGGGGCAUGAGGUCAAAGCAUUUAUAAUUUGAUUUCCUUUUCAGGUUUUAAAAACUUUUACUUGCCCAUAUCAAAUAGUCUAAUGUUUAAAAUCAGGGUUAGAAGUAAUAGAGUUUACCAUUUAAUCAAGAAAAAAACAUAAUAAACUAUAAAUCUAGUAGUAGAAAGAUGUAGCAAAAUAAAACUCUGAAAUACAAUGAUUGCGGGCACAACUGUAUCCCUGAUCAAGAUUUUUAAAAUUAUUUUUGUGGGACUGUCAGGCAUUUGUGGGACACAUUGACAGAAAUCUAACCUGGAAUACUUCUUUUCAGGCGAAUUAUAAACUGAAAACUCCUUAUAUUCUAGGAAUGCACAUAUGUACUAGCCCCUUCUCACAAAAUAACAAAUGUGAAAAAGUGGAGCUAUGAUUUAUUUGCACUUUGACAAGAUGGCCUAUAGUCUUCUCGGGCAAUCAAUGAGAAUUAAAAGCAGUUCAUCUCCAUAUCUAGUAUAAGUUUAUAUACAAAAAAUGUCUUAUCUAGAAUUAUAUGGAUAUCUAACCCUACCAAGUUACUAAAUGACAUUAAAAGUAUAUAGGAAGCAAACAUUUUUAUUAACAAUUUUGAACAAAACAGUUAGGAAAACUAUUCCUCCCACAACCUCUAUUAUCUAUUAUUUUUUUACUCUUAUAAAAUAUAAUAACAAAAAAUAACAUAAGAUUCCAGUGUCACAAACUCACUCUAAGGAAAAAUAACAAUGAAAUAAGACUUAUUUUUAUUUUAUGAAAGAUCAUAAAAUUAAAAGAAAAAAGAAAAUGUGCAAACUUCCCAAUGGCACAUCAUAAGUUUUGAAAGUAAGAUGUGUAACACCUCUCCCAACCAUAGUGAAAUUAUUUAAAGAGUUUAAAUCUAUUUUCCAAACUGUAGCAGAAAAUAUGCCAUUAAAUCUUUUUUCUGACUGGCAAUCUGCAACAAAUUAAAUUACUUUUACACACUAGAAGUUAUCUUAUUGCUUUGCUUUUCCCUGAGAACUGUCAGAAAGCAUAGCUUAAAAUCCUGACCCAUGAAGAGGGUGAGGAAUUAAAUACAUGGGGAAAUGUAACUAAGUGGUUAACAGACAAGUUCCCAAUCUCCCCAUCUCCAAAUCACUAAAUGGUACUGAUAUUUAGUAUUUACGAGAUUAACUCCAGGGAGCAGAAGAGUUACCCUGAAGACUGAUGAUAAAGCUUUUGGUGCAACCAAGCUGCUUGAACUCUACUCAUUUAGUGCAAUCUUAUUGUGGGUGAAAGGCCCUUGCUAUACCAACUCAGGGUGAAAUGCCAUGAUCAAAUGCUUACAUUUCAGCAUGCAGGAUUGGGCAGAGGGACUAUUUUUUUAACACAGUGUACCACCUUCUGAAAUAAGAUAAUUCUUAGGCCAGAAAAAUAAGGUUAUAUGUAAAAUAUCAGAUUUGUCUCAAAUGUGAUAAAACAUUUAUGUCUAGGUCAUGAAGGAAUUUUGAUUGCUCAAAAUGUGAUUCCUAAUACUACAAAGCAUUUUUUUCCACAAAAGUGAACGUAUCCUUUUAUUCUUCAAGAAGACAAUGGAAGGCGUCAUGGAAACACACCAUGUGAAGUCAUCUUUCUGGGUUCCCAGCCAGCUGUGACUCCAACAUCAGAAUCAUCUCUAGAAAUGUAUCUUCUGGAGAAGGCAUAUAGAAGCAUGCAACCUUAGUACUGGGAGAGAGAUAAAGCUUUUGCCUCACAACAGUUAUGGAAACUAAAGGAUGUAUAAGUUGCAAUCCCUGAUCAAACAAAUCACAGUUAAGUAUUCCAAGGUAAGACCUAUUGUUUUACAACAGGGGUGUCAAACUCAAGGCCCGCAGGCUGGAUGCAGCCUGUGAUGUAGUUAAAUAUGGCCUGCAGGGUUGUCUUUGAGACAGCAAAGGACAAGCACUUGACGCCUCAGCCCCAGCUCAGCGCUAAUCUAUAACUUGAUGGCUGCUAUCCGGGCUGGAACACAGUCGGCCUUAGAUCUGCAGGGCCGUCCUGGUGCCAGUGAGGAAUUGCCCCACUGCCUGGGCCCAACUCCCUGGGU